rnacentral:lncRNA from 1 species
CACCACAUUACUUGCCUUCUCCACCACCCAACUCACCACCACCACCACCCAACUCGCUGCCGCCUCCACUGUAUUCGCCGUGCUCAGGGCAAUGGUCGGAUUCCAAGUGACUAAUCUAAAGCACAUGAACCACAGACCAAGGUUAUAGAAGAAGAAGGAGAUCAAGAAGAAGAGCAAUGAAGAGGAGCUUGAAAGACGUAGGU